rnacentral:lncRNA from 1 species
AAACAUAUGCUUUUAAUCUCCUUUGAGUCAUCAAAGAGUUUGAAACAACACUCCUGAGAGCCUGGGGACAGGAGCGAUGCUGUGCCACCAUGAAAUCUGACAUUUUGCUAAGGAGUUGAAAUUUUGGAUAAUCACCUCCAAAGGUAAGAAUGAGUAACAGUGGGAUGUUGAUGAAAGGAGCUUAGCCCAGUACAGACAUCCCAGACAUCCCUACAAGGGCCACCACAGAUGCACCUGGGAUCCAACCCUUACAGACCCACCAACAUCACCAUUUCUGGUGUCACCCAGCAUCAUCAACCCCACCUGGCUGCCAUGGCCAGGGCCAGCCCACAGCAGCCACAGGGCCCAUGGGAGCAGCCAGAGAGGAAGCACAGAUCCUGCAGGGGGUGAGCACAACAGAUGUCUCAGCUUCUCAUUCUGAUGGUCUUCAGCUCAUCUUGCCGCUGGCUUGGAGUGCCCACGUGCAGGAGAACCAUCCUCAUCCUCCUCCAGCUUUCUCCCUGGUCAUGGAAUACACACACUUCCAGCUGAAGGAAGCCCAACCAUUCUGAAAAUUGCCAAAAUACAGAGAGAGAAAGCAGCCAGGCAUUGCCAUGGAGUUUUUCCCAAGAUCACCUUGUACUGCCGCAAUAAAUUCCUAUGGAAUCUUCUGGAGAUCA